rnacentral:rRNA from 1 species
GAUCCCAUCAGAACUCCGAAGUUAAGCGUGCUUGGGCGAGAGUAGUACUAGGAUGGGUGACUCCCUGGGAAGUCCUCGUGUUGCACCC